rnacentral:sRNA from 1 species
UCGAUUCGAGCGAUAGCGAGAAAGCGUUGCCGCAGGCAACGACCCGAAGGGCGAAGCGCAACGCGCUGAGUCAUCCUUCCCCCACCACCA